rnacentral:rRNA from 1 species
UACGUAGGUGGCAAGCGUUGUCCGGAUUUACUGGGCGUAAAGAGCGCGCAGGCGGUCGUAUAAGUCGAAUGUGAAAGCCCCCGGCUCAACUGGGGAGGGUCAUUCGAUACUGUUCGACUCGAAGGCAGGAGAGGGAUGCAGAAUUCCAGGUGUAGCGGUGAAAUGCGUAGAUAUCUGGAGGAAUACCGGUGGCGAAGGCGGCAUCCUGGACCGAGAUUGACACUGAUGAGCGAAAGCCAGGGGAGCAAACGGG